rnacentral:misc_RNA from 1 species
UCUCCGUAGGUGAACCUGCGGAGGGAUCAUUACAGAGUUCUCGCCCUCGCGGGUAGAUCUCCCACCCACUGUUAUCGUUACUGUGUUGUUUUGGCGGGCCGCCGGGCCCCGCUCGGCCGCCGGCUCCGGCUGGCGCGCGCCCGCCAGAGGCCCAGCAAACUCUGAAUGUUAGUGUCGUCUGAGUACUAUAUAAUAGUUAAAACUUUCAACAACGGAUCUCUUGGUUCUG